AGGGCUUUAGUUUAUAAAAACUACUCUAUUGCAAAGAGUGAAAAAGCAAUUACUAAUUUGCUUAAGUCUUU
rnacentral:tRNA from 1 species